rnacentral:rRNA from 1 species
CACAGAGGUCUCAAGCGUUGUUCGGAUUCAUUGGGCGUAAAGGGUGCGUAGGCGGCGCGGUAAGUCGGGUGUGAAAUCUCGGAGCUUAACUCCGAAACUGCAUUCGAUACUGCCGUGCUUGAGGACUGGAGAGGAGACUGGAAUUUACGGUGUAGCGGUGAAAUGCGUAGAUAUCGUAAGGAAGACCAGGGGCGAAGGCGGGUCUCUGGACAGUUCCUGACGCUGAGGCACGAAGGCAAGGGGAGCAAACGGG